rnacentral:rRNA from 1 species
GACGAACGCUGGCGGCGUGCCUAAUACAUGCGAGUAGAACGCUGAAGAGAGGAGCUUACUCUUCUUGGAUGAGUUGCGAACGGGUGAGUAACGCGUAGGUAACCUGCCUUGUAGCGGGGGAUAACUAUUGGAAACGAUAGCUAAUACCGCAUAACAAUGGAUGACACAUGUCAUUUAUUUGAAAGGGGCAAUUGCUCCACUACAAGAUGGACCUGCGUUGUAUUAGCUAGUAGGUGAGGUAAUGGCUCACCUAGGCGACGAUACAUAGCCGACCUGAGAGGGUGAUCGGCCACACUGGGACUGAGACACGGCCCAGACUCCUACGGGAGGCAGCAGUAGGGAAUCUUCGGCAAUGGGGGCAACCCUGACCGAGCAACGCCGCGUGAGUGAAGAAGGUUUUCGGAUCGUAAAGCUCUGUUGUAAGUCAAGAACGGGUGUGAGAGUGGAAAGUUCACACUGUGACGGUAGCUUACCAGAAAGGGACGGCUAACUACG